ACGACCUUACUUGGACAGGAUCUGUUCUAUAGGAUCGUACCUCUGUAUCCUUGAUUUCUAAGGAGACAGGAAUCCCAACUUGGUUGAUGAAUCAAGACCGUACAAUCAGAGCGUGAUUAACAGCUUCUGGUUCACCAGAUAGCCGUAGAGGAUCGUUCUCAGCUGGGUGACUGGCUGGGGUGGUUGUAUCGGUUGUCUGACAGGUU
rnacentral:snoRNA from 2 species